GCACUGGGAGCAGCAGUGGUUCAGAAUUCUCUCCUUCCACGUGAGAGACCCAGGUUCGAGUCCUGGCCAGUGCA
rnacentral:tRNA from 1 species